GAAGUAAAAAGUCGUAACAAGGUUUCCGUAGGUGAACCUGCGGAAGGAUCAUUAUCGAGUUUUGACCGGGUUGUAGCUGGCCUUCCGAGGCAUGUGCACGCCCUGCUCAUCCACUCUACACCUGUGCACUUACUGUGGGCUUCAGAUUGCGAGGCACGCUCUUUACCGGGCUUGCGGAGCAUAUCUGUGCCUGCGUUUAUCACAAACUCUAUAAAGUAACAGAAUGUGUAUUGCGAUGUAACACAUCUAUAUACAACUUUCAGCAACGGAUCUCUUGGCUCUCGCAUCGAUGAAGAACGCAGCGAAAUGCGAUAAGUAAUGUGAAUUGCAGAAUUCAGUGAAUCAUCGAAUCUUUGAACGCACCUUGCGCUCCUUGGUAUUCCGAGGAGCAUGCCUGUUUGAGUGUCAUGAAAUCUUCAACCUACAAGCUUUUGUGGUUUGUAGGCUUGGACUUGGAGGCUUGUCGGCCGUUAUCGGUCGGCUCCUCUUAAAUGCAUUAGCUUGGUUCCUUGCGGAUCGGCUCUCGGUGUGAUAAUGUCUACGCCGUGACCGUGAAGCGUUUGGCGAGCUUCUAACCGUCUUAUAAGACAGCUUUAUGACCUCUGACCUCAAAUCAGGUAGGACUACCCGCUGAACUUAAGCAUAUCAAUAA
rnacentral:rRNA from 1 species